CCUGGAUGCAUUCUGCUUGUGUUGAGUGUAUCUGUCUGGGAGAGGUGAUAGAGAACCUAUGGAGUGACAAGCCAUCCUACCUCCUCUCACCAAUGGGAGCAAAAAAGAACUGAGGAAGGGUGCCUUGCAAAUGUUUUUUGCCUAAGGAGAUCACAGCUCAGUGGGCUGAGUUGCAAACUGUAUGAGUAGCUUUGUCUUGAGGAAAGGCAAGAUUUCUGUCACGCCGUCAGGGCCUUUCCUGUAUUUGUGCCUCCUCUUUGGGGUUUCUUUUCUAUAAAAUGGACUAUAACAACUUUCACCUGCUGAGUCUCAGAUACGUCUUGAAGACAGUGUCGUGUAUAAACAUCGAAGUCUUAAAGCAUGGAAACUAAAGCAUGAGUAUGAUGUGGUUUAGCUCAUUUCUGACUGCAGGUUCUCCCUAGCCUGGCUCACAGCCAUGAUCACUCAGGACAGCUACAACCUCGAGGAAAAUCAUAGAAUCACAAGGUUGGAAAAGACCUACAAGAUCAUCUAGUCCAACCGUUCUCCCUUUACCAUACCUACAGAAAACCACUAAACCCUGAUUUGGGGAAUUAUUCCCUAGGAGUGCUCGUGCUUUACAGCAGUUUCUGAAGGUUUACUUUUUAGAGGCAAAGCAUUUGUGCAGGGAAAAGCCAACACUGCGAGAUGAUGAGCUGUCCUUUCGAGGAAAUGAGAUGAUGGGGAUUAGAGAAGCACUGAAAGAUAUUUCCUGGUGAUGCAAUCUGGAGAAGUUCUUCAGCUCUUUCCAGGUCUCAGCUGCUGUUGCAAUGCCUGAAGUCUUUAACAGUGAACAGGCUCUUGGAGAAUGUUAAGAAUGAACACCGACACAUGCAGGGUAAAGAUAACCAGCAAAGAUUCUCAAGAUUUUGUGAUCCAUGGGAACUGACUUUGCUGGCCUGUAGCCCAUUGCCGGUGCAGAGGUUCACAUCACACACUUUCCAACACAGGAGGCAUCUUCUAUUCUGAAGUCACAUGAGUUUGUUGCCAGAUUCUCUCCUGGCCUUAAACUGAUAUGGAUUUACCAGCUGAUUACCAAUUAUAGCCUUACUGGAGCCCCUUCCCCACUUCUUUAGGAUAUGAAGUAAUGACCCCAAGUUAUACCAAGGCAAGUUUAAAUUGGACUUCAGGAAGAAUUUCUUCAUGGAGAGGGUGGUCAGGCAUCAGAAGGGGCUGCCCAGGGUAGAGGUGGAGUCUCCAUCUCUGGAGGUAUUUAAAAGACAAGUGCACACUGCACUAAGGGACGCGAUGAUGAUUUCUUAGCAGGUCUGGUGGAUGUUUGGUCUUAGUGAUCUUGACGGUCU
rnacentral:lncRNA from 1 species